UGGGGAAUAUUGCACAAUGGGCGAAAGCCUGAUGCAGCAACGCCGCGUGAGUGAUGAAGGUCUUCGGAUUGUAAAGCUCUGUCUUUUGGGACGAUAAUGACGGUACCAAAGGAGGAAGCCACGGCUAACUACGUGCCAGCAGCCGCGGUAAUACGUAGGUGGCGAGCGUUGUCCGGAUUUACUGGGCGUAAAGGGUGCGUAGGCGGAUGUUUAAGUGAGAUGUGAAAUACCCGGGCUUAACUUGGGUGCUGCAUUUCAAACUGGAUAUCUAGAGUGCAGGAGAGGAGAAUGGAAUUCCUAGUGUAGCGGUGAAAUGCGUAGAGAUUAGGAAGAACACCAGUGGCGAAGGCGAUUCUCUGGACUGUAACUGACGCUGAGGCACGAAAGCGUGGGUAGCAAACAGGAUUAGAUACCCUGGUAGUCCACGCCGUNGACGAUGAGUACUAGGUGUAGGAGGAUCGACCCCCUUCUGUGCCGCAGUAAACAC
rnacentral:rRNA from 1 species